rnacentral:rRNA from 1 species
AGCAGCCGCGGUAAUUCCAGCUCCAAUAGCGUAUAUUAAAGUUGUUGCAGUUAAAAAGCUCGUAGUUGAAUUUCGGGGUUAGUAGGUUGGUCGUGCCUUUGGUAUGUACUGGUCUCACUGAUUCCUCCUUCUUGAAGAACUGUAAUGUCCAUUAAUUUGGUGUUGCAGGGAAACAGGACUGUUACUUUGAAAAAAUUAGAGUGUUUAAAGCAGGCUAACGCCUGAAUACAUUAGCAUGGAAUAAUGAAAUAGGACGUUUGAUCCUAUUUUGUUGGUUUCUAGGAUCGACGUAAUGAUUAAUAGGGAUAGUUGGGGGCAUUAGUAUUCAAUUGUCAGAGGUGAAAUUCUUGGAUUUAUUGAAGACUAACUACUGCGGAAGCAUUUGCCAAGGAUGUUUUCAUUAAUCAAGAACGAAAGUUAGGGGAUCGAAGACGAUCAGAUACCGUCGUAGUCUUAACCAUAAACUAUGCCGACUAGGGAUCGGAUGAUGUUAAUUUUUAAUGACUCAUUCGGCGCCUUA